CAAGCUUACUUUAGUUUAAAUAGAAUGAGGGUUUUGGGGACCUUGGGACUCGUUCAGAGAAGUUUGA
rnacentral:tRNA from 1 species